rnacentral:rRNA from 1 species
GACGAACGCUGGCGGCGUGCCUAAUACAUGCGAGUAGAACGCACAGUUUAUACCGUAGCUUGCUACACCAUAGACUGUGAGUUGCGAACGGGUGAGUAACGCGUAGGUAACCUGCCUGGUAGCGGGGGAUAACUAUUGGAAACGAUAGCUAAUACCGCAUAAUAUUAAUUAUUGCAUGAUAAUUAAUUGAAAGGUGCAAUUGCACCACUACCAGAUGGACCUGCGUUGUAUUAGCUAGUAGGUGAGGUAACGGCUCACCUAGGCGACGAUACAUAGCCGACCUGAGAGGGUGAUCGGCCACACUGGGACUGAGACACGGCCCAGACUCCUGCGGGAGGCAGCAGUAGGGAAUCUUCGGCAAUGGACGAAAGUCUGACCGAGCAACGCCGCGUGAGUGAAGAAGGGUUUCGGAUCGUAAAGCUCUGUUGUAAGAGAAGAACGGGUGUGAGAGUGGAAAGUUCACACUGUGACGGUAUCUUACCAGAAAGGGACGGCUAACUACGUG